UACGUAGGGUGCAAGCGUUAAUCGGAAUUACUGGGCGUAAAGCGUGCGCAGGCGGUUGUGCAAGACAGAUGUGAAAUCCCCGGGCUUAACCCUGGGAACUGCAUUUGUGACUGCACGGCUAGAGUGUGUCAGAGGGGGGUAGAAUUCCACGUGUAGCAGUGAAAUGCGUAGAUAUGUGGAGGAAUACCGAUGGCGAAGGCAGCCCCCCUGGGAUAACACUGACGCUCAUGGCACGAAAGCGUGGGGAGCAAACAGG
rnacentral:rRNA from 1 species